rnacentral:rRNA from 1 species
GAUGAACGCUGGCGGCGUGCCUAAUACAUGCAAGUCGAGCGAACAGACGAGGAGCUUGCUCCUCUGACGUUAGCGGCGGACGGGUGAGUAACACGUGGAUAACCUACCUAUAAUACUGGGAUAACUUCGGGAAACCGGAGCUAAUACCGGAUCAUAUAUUGAACCGCAUGGUUCAAUAGUGAAAGACGGUUUUGCUGUCACUUAUAGAUGGAUCCGCGCCGCAUUAGCUAGUUGGUAAGGUAACGGCUUACCAAGGCGACGAUGCGUAGCCGACCUGAGAGGAUGAUCAGCCACACUGGAACUGAGACACGGUCCAGACUCCUACGGGAGGCAGCAGUAGGGAAUCUUCGACAAUGGGCGAAAGCCUGACGGAGCAACGCCGCGUGAGUGAUGAAGGUCUUCGGAUCUUAAAGCUCUUUUAUUGGGGAAGAAAAAAUGUAUAAGAACAUAUGCCUGUUUUGACGGUACCUAAUCAAAAAGCACCGGCUAACUACGUG